UGGGGAAUAUUGCACAAUGGGCGCAAGCCUGACGCAGCCAUGCCGCGUGUGUGAAGAAGGCCUUCGGGUUGUAAAGCACUUUCAGCGAGGAGGAAGGUGGUGAGCUUAAUACGCUCAUCAAUUGACGUUACUCGCAGAAGAAGCACCGGCUAACUCCGUGCCAGCAGCCGCGGUAAUACGGAGGGUGCAAGCGUUAAUCGGAAUUACUGGGCGUAAAGCGCACGCAGGCGGUUUGUUAAGUCAGAUGUGAAAUCCCCGGGCUCAACCUGGGAACUGCAUUUGAAACUGGCAAGCUAGAGUCUCGUAGAGGGGGGUAGAAUUCCAGGUGUAGCGGUGAAAUGCGUAGAGAUCUGGAGGAAUACCGGUGGCGAAGGCGGCCCCCCUGGACGAAGACUGACGCUCAGGUGCGAAAAGCGUGGGGAGCAAAACAGGAUUAGAUACCCUGGUAGUCCACGCUGUAAAACGAUGUCGAUUUUGGAGGUUGUGCCCCUUGAGGCGUGG
rnacentral:rRNA from 1 species